rnacentral:rRNA from 1 species
GGACUUGCACAAGCAGUGGAUCAUGUGGCUUAAUUCGACGAUAAACGAAGAACCUCACCAGGACUAGAAACCUAAGUGAAAAUCUAUGGAAACAUAGACCUUCUUCGGACAUUUAGGCAGGUGAUGCAUGGCCGUCGUCAGCUCGUGGCUUGAGCUGUUCCCUUAAGUGGGGUAACGAGCGCAACCCUCAUUGUGUGUUACAAGUGUCACACAAGACUGCCCCCGCUUUAGGAUUGAAAUAUAUAUUUGAAUCUUGAAGCGGGGGAGGAAGGCGAGGAUGACGCCAGGUCAGCAUGUCCCUUGAUGUCCUGGGCUGCACACAUGAUACAAUGGGUAUUACAACGAGACGCAAUGUGGCGACACGGAGCAAACCUUUAUAAAAGUACCCCCAGUUCGGAUUGGAGUCUGCAACUCGACUCCAUG